rnacentral:lncRNA from 10 species
CAGAAAUCUGAACAAUCAGAAAGACCAUUAUCUUCUCACCUCCACACUACAAACCCACGUAUAUCUCUACCUAUAUUCUGGGUCUUCUCUCUGUAUAAGUUAUUUAAUGUGGUAUUUCUAGUUCCUGGAGCAGUGCCAUUUAUAUAAUAGUUUCCCAGUACACAUUUAUUGGGUAACUCUUCUAUGGAGAUACUUGCAUGAGACUGCAGGAUUCUAGAAGACUCUUAGAUGCUACUUUCUAGUUUGGGUGGGAGGAUGGGCCAAUGACAUUAUUGAGAGGAAAGAGGUGGAUGAGACUGUAGCAAACACUGUGUUUCCCUAUGACCCGCACAUGGCAGCAAUGGACCUGGGAGUCCCAUGUCCGGAAAUGGACAUAAGCAUGCCAUUAGACAGCAGAGGCCUUGGGUCUGUGUAAAGAGGCUGCCAUGGGCC